UUCUGUCUACCUGGAAUCACUCUACAUGGUGUGCUUGUUUUGAUAUAUAUGCACCAUCUCCUGAACAGGGUUGUAACAGCACCAUAUACAGUGUUUUCCUUGUAAAUGCAGUAGCAGUUAUUAGAACAAACUUUACAAUGGUCAUACAUUCAUUGCCUGCCAGGAAUUGAUAUUACAUGAAACACACAGUUCAUACCUUGAAUUACGGAUUACUAAAAUUAAUUAGUCACACACACACAUACAUCUCUAGCACAUGACUACUGCACCGAAGGGGAAUGCUGAUUGAACUAGAAAUUUGUUUUUGUGUUCACCUUGUAGAGAUCAGGUUUCAAGGUAUAUAUAAGGUGUUGUGCAUGCAUGGUACUGUCACGUACCAUGAAAGACCAGCUCGUGCGUUUUCGCUGCCCAGUCUAAAUUUGAGGCGGAAUCAAUAGUUAGCAUAAGGUGUAGUGCACACCACAGAUCCAUGGCGGGAUCUUAGAAGAUUCUCCCAUCCGCGGUUGACUGAAGGUCUUCGCAUCAGGGUUGCUCGACUUUCUUUUGCAGAAGUGCUCUAGCUGCUGUGACCUGAUGUUUGUCCGUACAGGCAGUGGCCAAGUGGAGCUAGCAGGAUGCCACUAUGAGGCAAAGUGGCAAACAGAAUAGACUGGGUGAGUUGGGAUGAGUUGCUGAACCCAAAGAACAUGAGUGGGUGACCUGUGCUUCAAAGACCUUGAUAGAUUCAGCGUCAUGAUGGCAGCACCACAAGCUUGUAGAAUCGCUUUGUCGCCCUUGAGUUCUCAUGGACAGUUACUGCUGGAAUUCUAGUGUUCUGCAAGCUGAAGCAAAGUAAGGAAUUUCAUUGCCUGAAGAAGCAUCCUGCAUGGAAUCUGGUAGAUGCGCGACCACUGAAAGGUGACAGAACUCACUACAUAAUCUUUGAACAAGGAUACAAUUCGCUCGCCACAGGUAUCCCCAAGUCAAGGAGGCUCUCAAUUUGUAUUGUCAUUUUCGGAGUUGAGGAGAUGUUUUUGUACAAGACUGUACAGAGGAAAAAAUUGGUGAUGUAAGGUGUUUGUUGUAGGAUGGUGAGUGACCUGAUUUAGGAGGGUCCUGGAGGCAACAACGCACAUGUUUUGCAGAGUUAAUGUGGGGUUGUUUAGGCAGAAAUACAAUACAACAAUGGAUCUGGAAACUGGAAAGAAUUGUCAACACCCUGCAGCCGAAAAGUACUAUCACUUUACACUACACGGCAAUAAGGUUGUCACAGGUUGCUUCUUGCCCUCCACAAAUUUCUUCAGAUAGUUAGGAUUCUCACUAAAGAUUAAAAAUCCUUGCUGGUGCCUACUUAGACAAAACGAAAUAAGGAGAUAGAAUGGUGAGAAAUAUGUUGUUUUUUGUUUGUUUGUUUGUUCUCUUUACUCUGUGCCAUGGCAAGCAGAUAUGUACGUAUGUAUGUAGUUGGUACAGUAUGCAUUUGAUUUUAGCUGUACUCUGGUUGAUACAGAUCCAACUGCGAUUUCUAUUUUCUAUUUACGAUAGAGCAAGGUAUGUGAUUUCUGUGUGAAGUUGCAGGUUUCUUCUGUCCCAGGUUCGCACCUGCGCACUGUGUAUCGAUGAAGGAAGGAAACGCGCCAUGAUUUUAUAUUUACAUGCAUGCUUGUGAAAAUGAUGAUCUUCUUCAGUUCCAGGUUAGAGAUUGCAGGGGGACAAGGACGACAAUGGAGAAAGAAUAGGGAAGGUGCAAAUGAAGGGAAGCAACGGUGGAGGGAUGAGAGACCUGGAAGACCGGAGGCCGGAGGGGGUCGAAGCAGACGGCGCAGUCGAGAACAUCCGGGUCGAAGAUGCCGCUGAUGCCCGCCGCCGGCGCCGCCAUGUCGCUCAUCUGCUCCGGCCGUUGAUGGGGAUCCCCUUUCCUCCUCUUCUUGCCGCUGCAGCUCUCAUCCAUUGCUGGCAGGUAGCUGCAGUACUAGUCCACCACCACGACUUAGCGGUGAAGAAAUGCGUGGCUUGCUCCAUACUCUGCAGUGUGAGUGCAGGGUGUACUAACUAGCCGUUGUGUGCAUUGACGUGAUGCGACGAGGCAGUGGCAGGGGCAGGGCAGAGGAGGCCAGUAAUAGGCUAUACGAUCUAGCUAGCCGUUCCUUUUUUUAAAUAGUAGUAAAUAGUGAAAAAUUCAAACAAAUCCGAAUAGUUUUUGUGAUGCAAUAGGCUCAUUUGCGUGAUGACCGUUCAAAAUUUGGUGAAGUUUGUACAUCCAGGAGCUCAUGGCAAAAAAGAUAAAUUUCGGGUGUG